UGACGUGUCCGAUAAAGGGACGGUGAAUAAAAUUCAGGAGAUUAAUCAUGAUGACGUGUUCUGUGAGUACAUUGAACACAAGGCCAUACUUGACACUGUUGAGGGAAUCACCGGACCCAAUAUAAUGGCAAUGCAUAGUAUGCUGAUUGCUAAGCCUCCCGAUUGUGGAACCAACAGCAGCAAUCAUCCACCCCAUCAAGACCUGUACUAUUUCCCUUUUCGUCCAGUGGAUCGUAUAGUGGCUGCUUGGACUGCCAUUGAACCAUGCGACACUCUCAAUGGAUGUCUAUUUGUAUCGCCUGGUUCACAUUUGGAACAGAAAUUAUAUCCUCACGAUUAUCCACCAGGUGCAAAUAACAAUUCUUCAUUGCUUUUGCCACGAUUUUCCUUAGAAUCUGCAAAGUACGAUGAGAUGGCAGAACCUGGAAAUGCAACCGGGUGACACAGUUUUCUUUCAUCCAUUGUUAAUUCACGGUUCUGGGGUAAACAAAUCCAAUAGAACGAGAAAAGCAAUAUCCUGUCACUACGCUGCUGCAGAAUGCCAUUAUAUCGAUGUCAGUGGUUCUGUUCAAGAUACGAUCAAGAAAGAAAUAGUCGAGGUAAAGAGGAAACGCUACGCUUCUGAUGACAUGGCAUGGGAAGACUUUUUCCGUUUGAAAGCCAGUCUUGUUCGUGGUAUGAGAUCGAACUUGUGAGAAAAUUAAUUGAAAUAUUAUAUACGACCAUAGCAUCUGAACCAAGCACUAGAACAGAAUUUUUUAACGGAAAUUUAGCCUCUCUAUGAUCUGCCACAAAAUAAACAACAUUUUUUGAACCGCCACAAGUAUAAACUUAAUGAGAGCCUCCAAAGUGGCACAAAUUUUAAAUUUUUAGUUCACUUUUAAACGUAGACAAGUAGGUCAUGUCAAACAGAUUUAUAGAAAUUCGCACAAAUAAUUGUCAAAUAUUGUUCUUUAAUGAAAAUAGGUCAAUAAACAAUCAGAUGAAACAUUUAUUUAUCGAAACCUUAGACGAAUUAUAUAUAGACUGGAAAUAACGAACAAAAUUACGUAAAAAUUGUGUCAUCGACAUGAAAAACGAAAUAUUUGAUAGUGUGAGAAUUGGUGGGCAAAUUAGCGCGAAGGUUUCGAAAUUUUUUGCUACACAAAUCCUUUGAAUUAAAAAAA